rnacentral:lncRNA from 1 species
UUUUGUAAGAUUUUUAUUUUCAGCCGUUGAUUUUGAGCCCCUUCGUUCACUAGGCAAAUGAUAUCGUAAAAUUAUAAAAUUUAUUUUCUAGGUACUUCAAAUACUCUAGAUCAAGUUUAACGGAGCCGAUCGACGAUUCGAAAGUCGCAACAUCAAAAACGAGCUGGAAGCACGGAAGGCUCCGUGCUUCCGAUAGCAUAGUAGCCUCACUCUAUAUAUAUAUAUAUAUAUAUAUAUAUAUAUAUAACGUAAAAUAAUUUCAAGUUCGGGUUCGGUCAGAUUCGCGUUCGGAUCGGGUAUAAUCAAAAUCCAUAUCUGAAUCCAAAUCCGUCGAUUUUUCUGUUUUGAUACUCAUAUUCGAAACUAUAUCCUAUUAGCAUUGGGUAAUUUG